UGCCUUGCAGCUUGGUGGAGUAGCUAUCUAAUAACUUGCCAGUCACCAGGAAUCGGGAUGAAAGUCUUGCAGGAUUUCUUGUUGCCUUGUAUAGGCAUCCUGAUAACGCAGUGUGCCAGCACUCGUUCGACUCCACUCCGAAUGUGAAGCUGUCAACAGCUUCGUAUGUGUUUACUUCCGUUGUUUCGAAUGGGACUCACGUGACCAAGGUUUUAAUCAGUACUGUAUGGAGGACUUCUCUCAAGAAAACAUCCCCCAGAGCACGUUUUGGAGUUUGAAUGUUUCCAGGCUAGACAUCCAUAUGUGCUGAGACACAGAUUUGGGAAACAAGAUGUUCCCAGGCUAAGCAGAAAACGGACUUCUCUGUAUGGCCGCGUCCUAACGGUACCGGGGACUUGAAAGCAGCAGCACUGAACGCCACUGUCAGUCCUUAUCUAACGCUCCAAAAGUUCAACUGUGCAAUUUCAGUUUUCUACUUGUCUUCCCCAGCUUUGACGGACACCACACAGACCUGGAAGAGAUGUCCUAAGGCAGCAGGUUCAGCCGUACUAUUACAAGUAAUGUCAUGUAAUCGCUCAAAAACGUACGUGCGUUCUGCCUGAAAGAAAUCCAUUUCUUGCCACCUGCUAGAAGACAUUCCAAUAGGGUAAAGCUCCCUGGACCUGGCAAUAACACCUUCUCUAAGCAGUUCUUGCAGGUGACAGCGUAUAUAUCCUGGCUUAUGUGGACUUAAAAAAAAAAAAAAAAAGGCAACCGGAAAAAGUCACAGAAGAAAAGUCUGGGGAGGGCUAUUGAGUCAAAGCAACAACGAUCGCGCUGAGCCACAAAAUGAGAAUAUUCUGCAGGAGUAGCGUUGCAUUACAAGCUCACGCUGGUCCUACACUCCUCCUUCCGAAGGAGAGGCGCUGUCCUGCCGACGCUCCUGUCCUUCGCGCCGAGCCGUUGUAGUUCCUCAGCUCCAGCUGGUGCUCCUGCUGGACUAUAUGGUUUGCUACUUGUUGCAAGCGUUUUCUGUUUGCUUUCAAGCUCCCUCGAUCGAAUUCUGAUGGAGUUCAAGGCUUGCUCCCGCGCUUGUUGUCCGUCAUAAGUAGGAAGCAGCCUGAAAAGGCUGGAAUCGCCUAUCAGUGUAUCGGUAACGCGUUUCU
rnacentral:lncRNA from 1 species